rnacentral:rRNA from 1 species
UAAUACCGCAUACGACCGAGNGGUAGAAGGCGGGGGACCGCAAGGCCUCGCGCGAUUGGAUGAGCCGACGUCGGAUUAGCUAGUUGGUGGGGUAAAGGCCCACCAAGGCGACGAUCCGUAGCUGGUCUGAGAGGAUGAUCAGCCACACUGGAACUGAGACACGGUCCAGACUCCUACGGGAGGCAGCAGUGGGGAAUAUUGGACAAUGGGCGCAAGCCUGAUCCAGCAAUGCCGCGUGUGUGAAGAAGGCCUUCGGGUUGUAAAGCACUUUUAUCAGGAACGAAAAGCGUUGGAUUAAUACUCUGACGUGCUGACGGUACCUGAGGAAUAAGCACCGGCUAACUUCGUG